rnacentral:misc_RNA from 1 species
UACAACUUACAAGUUAGAACCUUUUUAGCCGGUUUAUGGACGCCGGACUGCCUGACUUAUCUACUAAUCAGUAGCGACUUAGCGAGGGAUUAUUUCAUGUACGAGUUUGGCUAUGUUGUUUUGUAUUUUCCUUUGAAGAGUUAAAAAUUCAAAAUGAGCAUCAAGUGGAGUGAAAGUGUUAUGCUGAAGUUUUUAGAACUGUACGAAAAGUACGACUGUCUCUGGAAUCACAGACUUGAAGAGUAUAAAAAUAAAAACGUACGAGCAAACGCGUUGGCUUCUUUUGUAGGAGAAAUGGGAAUUGCCGGACUUACUGUUGCCGAUUUAAAGAACAAAAUCAAGACGGUAAGAACUAUGUAUAAGAAAGAAAAUUCAUUGAUUUACAAAUCAAAAAAAAGUGGAGCCAGCCCAGAGGAAUUGUACGUGCCAAAAUUAUUCUGGUACAAAAGGGCAGAUAUGUUUCUAAACGGUGUUACAACCUCAAAGGAUACAUCAUCAAAUUUAAAUGUACCACUACAUAAUGGAGCUGAAAGUAAAUCGACCCAUAAUGAAGAAGAAAACUCAGAUGAAAUUGAAUUUACUGCAUCAACAUCAUCAUCUUUAAUUACCAAAAAUGGCACUCAGGAAAAAAAGCGACUUGCGGGAAACUCAGAAACAGCUAAUCCAUUUACUACUAAACAAUUGAAGAGAGCAAAUGUAUUUCGUGCUCCAAAUAUCCAUAAACGUAAAAUGAUAAAUGAAAAUAUUUCAACAAUAAGUGCAGCUAUUGAGAAACUUGUCCAAAGUAGUAAAAGCGAGGCUGACGAUGAGUUUGAAAUAUUUGGAAAAUAUGUCGCUGUACAAAUAAAACAGAUGCCUCUGUACGACGCAAUAAUAUGUCAAGAAGAAGUUCAAACCCUGAUAAGGGAAAAGAGAUUGGAGAUCUUGUCAAGAACUCAAUAUGUAGAUCCAAAGACACUAUCACCAGCAGUGGGAGGACAAUGGUCGUCAUCAGUUUCUGAAACAUCCAACCAAGAAUUACUCGAGGAGGAUUCCCAAGAAACAUCUGACAAAUAUCAAAAGCCUUAAAAGAUAUCUAACUUAAAUGAUUAGACUAUGGCAGUAUUUUUUAUGGCGAUGCAACAAAAUGCCUUUGCCAAAUUGGACAGGAGCCUAUAAAAAAAUAACUAGAUGCUGCAUAGGAGAGAUGGCGUCUUCUUGUACUAAUGCUCUUUUGAUAGAAGCAGGAAUAUGCCCAUGUGGAAAACUAGGUGGCAAGUGUCUCUCAUACUCAUCAGUAGGAAACACUUUUUCACCCAGCAACCAUUCAUAGUUUUGCUUUGGAAAGAUUACUUUACCAUCUGGCAAUGAAUAUCCUUGAACUCAGGACUUUCCCUUAACAUAAUAACAGCGUAUGAAGAGUAAGAAGUAAUAGGAUGAGGAGCAGUAUGGAGAUCCUCAACCAUGGUAUAUAUGAAUGGAUCCAAAUGAGAGAGAGGAAUCAGGCAGCAGUAAUUCAUCGUAUCGAUGAUGAACACUUGCAAACAAAGGGAUAAUUUUUACUGCAGAAGAAAUAGAGAUAUUGAAGGCCUUGAGCUACAUUACCGAGCACAUGCUAGAAAGUGCCAUACUCCAAUCGAAUGGCCUAAUUCCUAUUUCAAUUCCUUUGAUAGUCAAAACUAGACUUCUGGACAUGGAGGAAAAUAAUGUGUAUGUGAUUUGGGCAACAGUCCUCAGCAUGAGCCCUUACAAUAACAAGUUGCAUGUGUUAGUUAAGGAUGCAGCAUGUAGUGCAGUUCCAUGGAACAAUACUAUUAACAAUUAGAUUAUAGCCUAUAUAACAAGGUGAAAGAAAUUAUAUGGUAGCGUGGAUAUGUUGUGUCUUGGAGACAGAAAGCUUCCAUACAGCUAUAUAUUCCUGGUGGUUCACAAGAAUGAAUAACGCUAAGAAACUGUUCCUCCCAUUGAUAAGAUUUUGAUUAAACUUUCUUAUCACCUCUGCAAAAUAGGCAUCACCUUAACGUUCACAUGCUGUCACGGAGUCACCACUACUGACAUCAACUCUGUUCUUCUCACUCCCAUGGUAGAAGUGAGACUCUACUAAUUCAGGUGAUUUUUCAGAUCUAUUUCCUCGAGCUUUAUCUUAAGUACAGCGACAGUGCAAUUUUGGCUACUUGCAGCAAUACAACACGAGUGACAGAUGCCACUUGCUGUCAAAUUUAUUCAUAAACUGUUUACAUUACUAGAUAGUUUAUAUUCCUUCCACUUGAUUAAUUAAAACUGUUUAUGGAUUGAGUAAUUCUAUUGUCUGUUAAUUACCUUUAGUCUUAUUAUUAUUGUAUUUCUGACUUGACCCAGCAACCACCAGAGGAAAAGAUAGACUACAUGCUAUCACAUAUAAAUUUUAUUGUGCUCGGCUGUCUAGUAAAACGUAAAAAAAAGCAGAAUUGCAACAGUUACAACUGAAUCGACUUUGGACACAAUUUUUCCCUUGUAAUCUGAAAAUGUACAUUUUCAAAUCAAGGUUAAACAACUUCAUAAGGGAUAACAUUUUUUGCAAACUUUUUAAAAUUUAUAUUUUCAAUUAAAUUGAACAAAAAAGAGAAAAUUGUAUUUUUUAUUAACAAACUGUAACUGUAGCAAAACAAAUCAGCAAGGUUUGAUGCGUUUAAAGAGGGGAGGAAAAGACAAAUUUUAAAUCGCUUUCCACAAUGUAAAUUACUUAAUAAAAAAAAUCAUUAAUUUAAAAUUUGGUUUUAAUUUUAUUGGUUAUAAAACUUAAUGGUGUAAUAGUUAAAAACAGUAGUUUUAUUUUAACCACUUUUUCCUAAAAAAAAAAUCUUCCUGAAAUAUAGGACCCAGAUAAAUAUUUGUAAACCUCAAAUUAAAUUAAACAGCAUUACAUUACAAAUUAAUUUGCAUAAAAUCGAUUUAUGUUGAUAGUUUUAUACUUAACGAAAAAAUUGACGCAAGGAUUCGCAAAAAGAUAAAUCUCACUCUUAUAUCCAAUUGCAUAAAUGCACAGUCAACGCAAACUUUUGAUUUAUCUUCAAAUUUCAUUAUUUAGUACAAUUUGCAAUAUAAAUAUAUUGAAAUGUAUAAAGCAAUAUAUUAUACAAAUAUCAACAAUUUUUAAAUAUAAUAUAUUUACAUUCUAUUCAUUUAUAAUACAAACAAUUUUUAAAAAAAUAAAAACUGGUGAUGUUAGUCACAAAUUCUACAUAAAUUCUUAAUUAUGAUUAAUAAACAAUUAUUAAACAUGCAAAAAUUUCAGGCAUAUCUUUUAGGUUAUAAUUGUCAGUACAUCACUAUAGUCACAAUUCUUUCACCAUUUCUUGGAAAGUUAUACAAAUUAGAAAUAGCAAAAAUAACAUCAUAAUUCUUUGCAACUGAACACACACUAUAGACUUUAUAUAUAUAUAAUUUACAUAUAAAUUUCACCAAUAACCAUUUUUGUACAUAGAUAAUUUAAAGUGACAAACAUUAUAGCAUUUUAGGCACAGAUACAGACAAAAGAGCACCAUUUUAAAUACAAUAAAUACAAGGUAGCCAGCGUGUCCCAAUUUCUUUUCUUGAUUAUUAGGAACAGUUGCUAACACUGCUCUCCUUGUGUGCGAUUCAUAUGGCCUGCUUUUGACCACAUUACAAUAAUAAAAAUUCAUAACAGCAUAUAAAUUGUCACAUGAUAAUUUGGACCAUUUACACUUAUAUUGUGAAUAAUUAUAUAUUUUACUUAUACAAAUUUAUUUAUUUUUUGUUUAAAUUAUUUCCCAUUGUUUGACUUCAUUGGUAUGAGAAGUUUGUGCACUCUUUGUUAACUCAAAUAUAAGAAAGAGUUUUUCUGAGUUUUUUUCUCCUCAAUCAGUCUGAAUGAUGCACAGUUGGACUUCUGAUUGUUAUUUUUAAUACAAUGAGUACACAGACUUCCAUUACUCUCUAAGGUCGAAUUAGUACGGAAUGUAUCUAAAACUAAAUCAAUUACAAAAAAAAAAAAA